rnacentral:rRNA from 1 species
AGCAGCCGCGGUAAUUCCAGCUCCAAUAGCGUAUAUUAAAGUUGUUGCAGUUAAAAAGCUCGUAGUUGAAUUUCGGGGUUAGUAGGUUGGUCAUGCCUCUGGUAUGUACUGGUCUCACUGAUUCCUCCUUCCUGAUGAACCUUAAUGCCAUUAAUUUGGUGUUUUGGGGAAUUUGGACUGUUACUUUGAAAAAUUAGAGUGUUUAAAGCAAGCUAACGCUUGAAUACAUUAGCAUGGAAUAAUGAAAUAGGACGUUCGAUCCUAUUUUGUUGGUUUCUAGGAUUGACGUAAUGAUUAAUAGGGAUAGUUGGGGGCAUUAGUAUUCAAUUGUCAGAGGUGAAAUUCUUGGAUUAUUGAAGACUAACUACUGCGAAAGCAUUUGCCAAGGAUGUUUUCAUUAAUCAAGAACGAAAGUUAGGGGAGUCGAAGACGAUCAGAUACCGUCGUAGUCUUAACCAUAAACUAUGACCGAC